rnacentral:lncRNA from 1 species
AGCCAGGAGAGGUAGCCGAGGGAGCCUGACGGGUGACGCCAGCGGCCACGGGGCCCCGAACGAGCAGGACAUGAGGGGCGACUAGGCGCGAGGACGAGCAAAAGCAAGUGGAUGACAGCAUGAACGGCCCUGCGGGGCUGGCCGGACGGCUGCAAGAACAUGCUGAGCCCAAAGAUCAGGCAGGCCAGGAGGGCCCGCUCCAAAAGCCUAGUGAUGGGGGAGCAGAGCCGGAGCCCUGGGCGGAUGCCGUGCCCUCACAGGCUGGGCCCCGUGCUGAAGGCGGGCUGGCUGAAGAAGCAGAGGAGCAUCAUGAAGAACUGGCAGCAGCGCUGGUUUGUGCUGCGUGGGGAUCAGCUUUUCUACUACAAGGACAAAGAUGAGAUCAAGCCCCAGGAAGCAUGAUGCUGACCUCUGCUCAGCUUCUGGAGAUGCCUCAGGAAACUUAGAAUCAUGGCGGAAGGCAAAGAGGGAGCAGUCAUGUCACAUGGCCAGAGCAGGAGCAAAAGAGAGAGCAGGGAGGUGCCACACACACUUUUAAACCACCAGAUUUCGUGAGAAUUCACUCUAUUUUGAGGACAGCACCAAGAAGAUGGUGCUAACCACUCAAGAGAAACCGCCCCCAUGAUCCAAAUACCUUCCGCCAGGCCCCACCUCCAACACUGGGGAUUACAAUUAAACAUGAGAUUUGGAUGGAGACACAGAGCCAAACCAUAUCACGCUCCUUCCCUGAGUCCUUGACCUGGAGUAGAUGCCUGGGUUGUCUCCAUUUCUCAAAUGAGGAAACUGAAGGACUGACAUCAGGCCAAGACUAACAGGUACUCACUCUCAGAUAGCGCCUGAAAGCUGACACAAGUUCAGUGAGACUGCUAGGACAACCCCCUGCCGUGCCAUUAAUGUCUGCCCACAAAAACC